rnacentral:rRNA from 1 species
GAUGAACGCUGGCGGCGUGCCUAACACAUGCAAGUCGAACGGAAAGACGGGGGUUUUGCCCUGCUGUCGAGUGGCGAACGGGUGAGUAAUACAUGUGUACCACUCCCGUAUAUGUGUGAUAUCCGUCGGAAACCCGGGUAAUAACACAGUAGAAUCUCGUGUUCCACAUGGGGCCCUAGUGACAUCCGGCUGUGGUGUCGGUUGUCGGCUGAUCCGCGCCUCAUUAGCUAGUUGGUCGGGUAAAGGCUUACGAAGGCGACGAUCCGUGGCCGGUCUGAGAGGGUGAUCGGCCACCCUGGAACUGAGACACGGUCCAGACUCCUACGGGAGGCAGCAGUGGGGAAUCUUCGGCAAUGGGCGAAAGCCUGACCCAGCAAUGCCGCGUGUGUGAAGAAGGACUUCGGGUCGUAAAGCUCUGUUGUCCGGGAAGAACAACUUUGCACGAAGACAGGCGGGGGAUGACGGUACCGGAUGAAAAAGCACCGGCUAACUACGUG